rnacentral:rRNA from 1 species
UACGUAGGGUGCGAGCGUUGCCCGGAUUUAUUGGGCGUAAAGGGCGCGUAGGCGGCCACGCACGUCCGUUGUGAAAUCGCCCGGCUCAGCUGGGCGGGGUCAGCGGAUACGGUGUGGCUCGAGCAAGCUAGGGGGCAAUGGAAUUCCCGGUGUAGUGGUGGAAUGCGUAGAUAUCGGGAGGAACACCAGUGGCGAAGGCGGUUGCCUGGAGCUUUGCUGACGCUGAGGCGCGAAAGCGUGGGGAGCGAUCCGG